rnacentral:rRNA from 1 species
UGGUGGUCAUAGCACGAGCAAAACACCCGGCUCCAUUCCGAACCCGGUCGUUAAGUGCCGUAGCGCCGAUGGUACUGCGUCCUAAGACGUGGGAGAGUAGGUCGCCGCCA